UCCCUGGUGGUCCAGUGGUUAGGGCUCUGCACUUUCACUGCAGGGAGCAUGGGAUGGAUCCCUGGUCAGGGAA
rfam:TPA: Bos taurus chromosome 21, whole genome shotgun sequence.